AAAGCUGCCAACAGGCCGCAUUGUAAUUUGUAGAAGAUGCUUUGGGUAUCGGCCUAGUCUAAGUUCCUUGGAACAGGACGUCAUAGAGGGUGAGAAUCCCGUACGUGACUGGUGCCGGCCCCCGUGUAAAGCUCUUUCGACGAGUCGAGUUGUUUGGGAAUGCAGCUCAAAAUGGGUGGUAAAUUUCAUCUAAAGCUAAAUAUUGGCCAGAGACCGAUAGCGCACAAGUAGAGUGAUCGAAAGAUGAAAAGCACUUUGGAAAGAGAGUUAAACAGUACGUGAAAUUGUUGAAAGGGAAGCGCUUGUAAUCAGACUUGCGGGCGGUCGAUCAUCCGAGGUUCUCCCCGGUGCACUCGAUCGUUCUCAGGCCAGCAUCGGUUCCGGUGGUGGGAUAAAGGCUGUGGGAAUGUGGCUCUUCGGAGUGUUAUAGCCCACGGUGCAAUGCCGCCUACCGGGACCGAGGACCGCGCUUCGGCUAGGAUGCUGGCGUAAUGGUUGUAAGCGACCCGUCUUGAAACACGGACCAAGGAGUCUAACAUCUAUGCGAGUGUUUGGGUGUCAAACCCAUACGCGUAAUGAAAGUGAACGGAGGUAAGAGCCCUUUAGGGUGCAUUAUCGACCGAUCCUGAUGUCUUCGGAUGGAUUUGAGUAAGAGCAUAGCUGUUGGGACCCGAAAGAUGGUGAACUAUGCGUGAAUAGGGUGAAGCCAGAGGAAACUCUGGUGGAGGCUCGCAGCGGUUCUGACGUGCAAAUCGAUCGUCAAAUUUGCGUAUAGGGGCGAAAGACUAAUCGAACCAUCCGUAUGGCAUAUGUAAGAUAGUUAAAAAGCUUGAGUGGUGAUGAAGCCUUGUCCGCA
rnacentral:rRNA from 1 species